AGGGAAUAUUGCUUAAUGGGCGAAAGCCUGAAGCAGCAACGCCGCGUGUGUGAAGAAGGCCUUCGGGUUGUAAAACACUUUUUGAGGGGAUGAGGAAGGACAGUACCCCCAGAAUAAGCCUCGGCUAACUACGUGCCAGCAGCCGCGGUAAAACGUAGGAGGCGAGCGUUAUCCGGAUUUACUGGGCGUAAAGCGCGUGCAGGCGGCACGGCAAGUUGGAUGUGAAAGCUCCCGGCUUAACUGGGAGAGGUCGUUCAAAACUGCCGAGCUAGAGUGCGGGAGAGGGAGGUGGAAUUCCGGGUGUAGUGGUGAAAUGCGUAGAUAUCCGGAGGAACACCAGUGGCGAAAACGGCCUCCUGGUCCGCAACUGACGCUCAGACGCGAAAGCUAGGGUAGCAAACGG
rnacentral:rRNA from 1 species